GCGACGCCGAGCGGAACCCGAAAAGCCGUCUCAGUUCGGAUUGGAGUCUGCAACCCGACUCCAUGAAGCUGGAUUCGCUAGUAAUCGCGCAUCAGCCACGGCGCGGUGAAUACGUUCCCGGGCCUUGUACACACCGCCCGUCAAGCCAUGGGAGCCGGGAGUGCCUGAAGUACGUGACCGCAAGGAGCGUCCUAGGGUAAGACCGGUGACUGGGGUUAAGUCGUAACAAGGUACC
rnacentral:rRNA from 1 species